CUUGGACUCUUAAAGCUCACGGUGUCUGGAAAACAUUCUAUGGUGCGCCUUUGCGCUAACGUAGUCCGUUAUCUGACCAUCUUCAGUUGAUUCUACAUGAUUAACAGACCCUAAGGCCUCUCUCUCUCUGACGACGGGUGCGUGUGUUAUUGAACGCAGGCGAGACUGAGAGAGAACGAUGUUCUUUGGAUGAGGCCCAGCAGAGCUCCUCCCCGCCUUCUCUUCCCAGUUUCAGUUCAUGUUUUUGUGAGCAUUUUUCUCCGUUCAUUUUAAGGACAAGAGUGGAGGAAAUACUAUUUUCGGUGCGGCAAUCAAACCGUGUUGGUAUCUUCUGGAGACAUCUCAGGAACCUCAUCUCAAUCUGUAGUCGUGUAACAUGUCCUCUGAGGGGGUAUCAGUGGUAGGACCCAGGUCACAUCGCUUUGCCGCCUGGUUUGACCAUGAAACUGCUGCGGUGAGAUCAGGACAUCACUCAGUCUGAGUGCAGUGGUGACCAUCCUGUUGGGGCUGUUCCAGGUGCUGUUGUCUGUCCUGCUCGCCGACUCCAACAAAAGUCUGCCAAAACUCUACAUACUGCCACUUGCCAUGGGGAUUGUAAUUGUGGCAGGAGGCUCAUUCACCAUGGCCAGUGAGAGGAACCCCAGCAGAUUACUGCUUCAAGGUUGCGCAUAUAGUAAUGUGGUUGGCCUGUUGGGAACAAUGCUUGCCUUUUGCCUAUACUGCUACAACCUCAGCAUUUUACAUAAAGAACCAUGUGUGAUGCCCCUUCCUGAUCACUUCAGACGGUCACCUUAUGACUGUCCUGGGGAAGCCCUGGCAGCCUAUUGCUGGAGUGUGACACUUCUGCUUCUGCUCUAUAACAUUGGGGCCGUGGUCAUGCACUCCCUCCUGUCUUUCUCUGCCCUCAAAGCACUCAAAACAGACUAAUUCACACACGGAACACACAUACCAUAGAUGUUGAAUUAUUCUCAUCAGCAGAAGAACAGUAAAAAAUGUGUUUAUCAGUCAAACAUUUUUCAAAUGUCUGUUAUGAGGUGAGAUUUAAAAUGGGUCCAGAUGUCAACAACAGUAUGUAGUGCAGGUAGAAAAUAAGAUCAUCAUAGUUGUAACAAAAUGAUAUGAAUUAAAUGGUGGAUAAACAAGUGAUGCAAUAUUGUGACCAGAAAUACAUAGAAAAUGUGUGGAUUUAACAAACUGAUGGAUUGAUUUAACCACCAGUUUAGUAAUUUAAAGCCAGUAUGCCAACCAGAGAGCAGUGACAUAUUGAUUUUGUGCACUGUAAAAUGUCUAAAUUAUAAAACAAUUGUUUUAUCUAAUUAACAUAGUUUGUUUUUGCCAUGUGGUUAUGAUUAACUCUUGCCCAAUGUAUCACUAUUACAAAGUAUACUGUAUUAAACAAAUGUAUAUAUUGA